CCUACGGGGGGCAGCAGUGGGGAAUAUUGGACAAUGGGCGAAAGCCUGAUCCAGCCAUGCCGCGUGUGUGAAGAAGGCCUUCGGGUUGUAAAGCACUUUCAGUGGGGAAGAAAGCCUUGGGGCUAAUACCCUCGAGGAAGGACAUCACCCACAGAAGAAGCACCGGCUAACUCCGUGCCAGCAGCCGCGGUAAUACGGAGGGUGCGAGCGUUAAUCGGAAUUACUGGGCGUAAAGCGCGCGUAGGCGGUCUGAUAAGCCGGUUGUGAAAGCCCCGGGCUCAACCUGGGAACGGCAUCCGGAACUGUCAGGCUAGAGUGCAGGAGAGGACGGUAGAAUUCCCGGUGUAGCGGUGAAAUGCGUAGAGAUCGGGAGGAAUACCAGUGGCGAAGGCGGCCUUCUGGACUGACACUGACGCUGAGGUGCGAAAGCGUGGGUAGCAAACAGGAUUAGAUACCCCAGUAGUC
rnacentral:rRNA from 1 species